UCACAUUUUAUAAUAUAUAUGUAUAUAUAUUUACAAUUAUAUACAAUUUCCAUCAAUCUCUCAAUCUUCUAUCUCCAUCAUCGUUACAAGUGCGAGUAGACCGUAUGGAUGAUAUUUCUUACUUUCCUUUAUAAAUCGCUACAAGUAUGAACAAGCCGCAAGGGCAAUAUCUCCGAAAUUUCCAACCCUUACCGACUUACUCCAUUUUCCUGUUUCAAAAGGUAUAUACUACCAGCCACUCUCCCAUCAACUGAUCCACGUUAUUUGGAAUGAUCUCUAUUAUUUGGAAUGAUCUCUGUUAUUUGGAAAUCAUGGAAGAAUUUACUUCAUUUGUAUUGUGAUGCGCCUACCUACUCCCAAGCGGUUGAAAAAACCGGAAAUAAUUCAAUUGGACUAAAGUAACACUUUGGUAUAUUCUACACGAUCAACAUUCUGCAGUCCCGUGCCAUAACUGCAAAUAGCAGGAAAAAACCGAAAUAGCUACAAAUCCCGUAAGCUAAGAGUUCUUCGUGAAAUUUUGAAGGCCGUACCGUCUGAGUCGUAACAAUACAUAAAUAAUCUUAAGAAUAAUAAUUCAUUAUUCUUUCUCAUUUUUCUAAUUUUUCAUUAUUAAUUUAAUUUAUAUCCGAACAGAAAAAUAGAAGAAAUAACAAAAAUCACAUAAAAGUUGGACGAUUAAGAUGAGUGUUUCUGUGUUGUCAGGAUUGGUGUCAUUAAUAAUGAAUUUCAUUAUAAUCAUAUGCGAAUAAGGAAUCGAGUAUUAUACCGCUAAAAUAAAAACCAAAAAAACAUGAAGUAGAAGUUUGUUCGUUCGCAUUUCGCAAUUUAAAUAACAAGUGUAUUUGCAUUGACUGCAUACAAUGCAAUCGUUAAAGUCACUGCUCAUUCGUAAAGCUUCUUUCUUUUUUAAAAAUCGCACAAACUGUAUUUAUAAAAGACAGUAAAGUUUCGGAAAGUAAA